GACGUAGGGGCGAGCGUUUGUCCGGAUUUAUUGGGCGUAAAACGUGCGUAGGCGGCUGCGCAAGUCGGGUGUGAAACCCCGGGGCUCAACCCCGGAACUGCAUCCGAUACUGCGUGGCUAGAGGUAGGUAGGGGAGAUCGGAAUUCCUGGUGUAGCGGUGAAAUGCGCAGAUAUCAGGAGGAACACCGGUGGCGAAGGCGGAUCUCUGGGCCUUACCUGACGCUCAGGCACGAAAGCUAGGGGAGCGAACAGG
rnacentral:rRNA from 1 species